AGGAGGAGCGCGAGAAGGUCCCGGGAGCCACUUAGGAGGCGCCACUCCCGAGAAUGUGGAGCCUGGGAGAUACCACCGCACGGAAUGGGGCAUUAGCCCACCAGGGAGCUUCGUCGGGAGAGGUCCAUGGAGCUGGAGCUGAGAGUGCGGCUGUCAGAGAGACCUGUGCCUCCAGGCUGUGGGCAGAGGGGGCAGGUGGCUCAGCCCUGUGCUGCUGCCAGUCUGUGCCUCCCUGGCCUGAAGCGGCCUGACCCGGCAGAGGCAGCCGGAGUCCCUGAGCUGGGCAGAGGCAGUGGCAGUUCCGGCCCAAGGCCACGCCCUGGUGCCCUGACACUCCCGCCCAUCUCCACGGUGACUGUGUUGGCACUGGCCAUUUACACAUCCACCCCCAGGAGAGACUGGGUUCCCCUCCUGUGUCUCCCCUUUGUCCAGCCCAAAGUAGGCCUGGGAUAGAAUCCAUUCCCUCCCAUUCGGAUGAAGAGGCAUGCUGGAGGGAAGCUUGGCAGCGCACAUGCAGCCCCGGCCACAGCCGCCCAGUGCCCGGACACCCGCUUGCCCCUACCUGGGUCGGCUCUUCCACGCUCUUGUUGAGGAAGUUGAGGGAACUGGCUCGCUUCAUCCUGAGGGAAAAGGACAGCGUGGUAUUUGCCCAAGGAGGAACUCAGGGGAGAUGGGGGCAGGGAGCAGGGUGGGGCUGGGGAGGGAGCAGACUGGUGGGUGGUGGAGCCUGAGAGGGAUGGGGAGGUUGCCUGGGGUCAGUGGGGCACACUCAUGGGUCAGGAGCUCAUCCGGGGUUGCUGGGUGGUUCCUGAGGCUCACCUUGGUGGGGGGCUCACCUGGGGUUAGGGGGCUCCUGGGGGCCGCCCCCCUGCAGCUUCUUUACUAGCAUCUCACUGCUGCGCCUCAGGGCGUCUCGGAGCUUCCCAAAGGAGCCGCUGCGCCGCAAGGAGCCACUGCCAUCCUGCGGGUGGACAGGCUCACCUCUAGGCCCCACUGGCCACCUAGGCUCCCGGCCCGGCCCCAGCCCCUGGACUCACCCCACUCCACUCAGCUGUAGGUCCCGCAUCCUCGAGGUCAGACUCAGACCGGGGCCCGGCACCCCCGGCCACGUCUCGGCUGCCACGGCGGUCUCCCCGCCCGCCACUGCCAUCUUUCAGCAGUUCUACCACCUUGGUCUGGCUUGCGGGGUCCAAACCCUGAGGGAGGGGCAGGGGCAUCAGGGAGGGGCAGGGGCAUCAGGCCGUGACUGGGCCACACUCAGGGCCACACAGGUGUCUGCCCACCUCCUCCUGCAUGGAGCCCCACCUGCUUGCGGUUGCGGCUGGCACAGUCCUCCAGUGUGUGUGCGGCUUCCAGCUUGCCCUGGCGUCGGUAUAGGGCCCCCAAGCUGCGCAGGGUGGUGUUGACUGUGGGGCUGUGGAUGGGACAGUCUCAAACUCCAUGUUCCCCCAGACCCAGGGCCCGUCCUGGCACCCAGCCUAUAGGGGGCCCUGAGGAAAUAGGGACCUCUGGGGUAGCCAGAAUCCAUUCCCCCCCAUGUCAAGCCCUGUGCUGGGCCCACCCAGCCUCUUCUGCCCUGGGGGAAUCACGCCAGGGCUAGGGACCUGGCCCCAGGGCCCUCAUGGGAUGUUGUCACCAGGACCGAAAGCUGGGAGACCCGGAGCAAGAUAAUUAGGCUGAGAAUUAGGAGACAGAGCCUUCUUGGGACAGGUGACCUGUGAGCUGGGCCUUGCCAGAUGAGCGGCAGAGGAGGGGUGUGUUAGGAGUGAGAGUAUGGAAUGUGGAGACUGCCCUGCCAUGCUCUGCUCCCCAGCCCCGCCCCGCCCCCCUCACCUGUCUACUUUACAGGCCUUGUACCAGCUGCCAUAUUCCCCAUAGGGGGCGCUGUCCCGGCGCUUAUCCUGGAAAAAGAAUGGUCACACUAAGUGAGAGCAGGCCCCGUUCUGCACAUCCCCGCCUCCCCUGACAACCACCCAACCUGCCCCACAAAGCUACCUUGCUUUCCUCCCGCUCCUCUGCGUGCAUCCAGAUGGGCUUGUUGUCCCCUGGGGAGAGAAAGGAGACUGUCAGCGGCCUACCAUAUAGGCCUCACCUGGUUGGGCUGGACACAGGACUGGGGUCAGGGGAGGGGAGACCAGGGUUGGGCUUUGUUGAAUGAAUGAACAAGAAUAAGACCCAAAACACUACUGACCCUCUUCUGGACAAAGAGAUGAGCAGAACAGACCCUUACACCUCAGGCCACAGCCCAAGACAUGUGCUAGGCCUGAAUGAUGGGCCAGGCUCCGAGGGACUCAGGAGCAGAUGACAACUGACCAUCCGGGGCCGGAGGUAGUUUCUCAGAGCGGGAGAUGAGCGGCAUCCCUGCCUCCCUCCUUUCCAUCCUCCAGCCCCUUCCAGCCUCAAGGCACCAGGUUGUUCUUGGUCUUGGCUACAUUGGGGUCAUCGGGCCCGAGGCGUGUAGCAUAGAUCUCCAGCGCCCGCCGAUAGUAGUAUUCCACCUCCUCGGCUUUGCCCUGGUUCUGGCACAGCAGGGCCAGGUUGCUGAGCUGCUUGGCCACAUCUGGGUGAAACUUGCCUAGGACCUGGGAUGGGAGAGGAAGCCAGGGGUUGGGUUCAGGGCUGCCUGGGCCCCUGCCUCCCAGACCCCUGGCCUGCCCAGCCCUGCCUGCUCCCACCUUCUCUCGGAUCUCCAGUGCCCGCUUGCACAACGGCUCAGCCUCCUUGUACUUGCCCCUCUUGCCAUACAGGACCGCCAGGUUGUUUAGUGUCGCAGCCACCUGGAGGUGGAAGAAUGGAAGCUCCUUGACCCAGGCCCUGCAGGACUCUGGGACCUGCAGGGGAUGGGGCACAGCCCCCACCUCCCACCCAACCCUCACUCACGGCUGGGUGGUCCUUGCCCAGGGUUUUCUCCCGGAUGGCCAGAGCAUCAUUGAGUAGUUCUGGCGAAGCCUCUCUCCUACACUAGACAGUUUUACUCGCAUCUGUAGCCCAGCUCCACACAGGUGGGCCCCGAGUCUGGCCCCACAGCAGGCACCAAAGCUGGGCCACGGCCUGCUCACUGCGCUGCAGCUUCUGCUGCGUCCCCGCCAGCUCCUCACGCAGCCACUGGUUCUCCUGCACCAGGCGCCGCACCUGCGCCCGCAGCUUCUGCUUCUCUGAUUCUACGGCCCCCAGGUGGCUCGACAGUGCCAAGAUCACCUGUGCAACCAGCCCAGGGCAGGAAUCCUGUCUAUUUUGUUGGGUCCUGUAUCCACCUAACGGCCUGGCUGGCACUGAAAAACUCAUCUGUUAACGAAUGAAUAGAAGAAUAAAUCGGUGGGAGGCUGUGUUUCCUUAA